rnacentral:tRNA from 1 species
GCCGGAGUGGUGAAAUUGGUAUACACGCAGCGUUCAGGGCGCUGUGAGCGAAAGCUCAUGGGAGUUCGAGUCUCCCCUCCGGCA